rnacentral:rRNA from 1 species
GUAAUGCCUACGCGGGCCUGGUAGUGGGGGAUAACGUCCGCGCGGGGGCGCUAAUACCGCAUACGUCCUGAGGGAGAAAGUGGGGGAUCUUCGGACCUCACGCUAUCAGAUGAGCCUAGGUCGGAUUAGCUAGUUGGUGGGGUAAAGGCCUACCCGGAUGCGACGAUCCGUAACUGGUCUGAGAUGCAGAUCAGUCACACUGGAACUGAGACACGGUCCAGACUCCUACGAUGCACAGCAGUGGGGAAUAUUGGACAAUGGGCGAAAGCCUGAUCCAGAUGCACGCGUGUGUGAAGAAGGUCUUCGACCGCAUGGCACUUUAAGUUGGGAACCGCAUGAGUAAGUUAAUACCUUGCUGUUUUGACGUUACCAACAGAAUAAGCACCGGCUAACUUCGUGCCAGCAACCGCAUGAUACGAAGGGUGCAAGCGUUAAUCGGAAUUACUGGGCGUAAAGCGCGCGUAGGUGCUGCCCAU